AUGACGGGGCUAGGCUCCAGGCGGCGUACACUUCAUGGGAAGGCAAGGAACCAGGAGGUGAUGGGGUCAGAUCUGGCAGUGGUAGAUCAGAGCUUAAGCCCGAGGCCGCGACGGGGAAGGUCGAAAAAUAGAGAGACCGGAUGGAGGUGCUGGAGGCGAAGGACCGCCCGUCGGCAAGCUCGAGCUAGAGACGUUAGCGUCACCGGCCAUCAGAUGCAUAGGAGCAUGAGGCAGCGCUCCCGUCGCUUUGUGGUGGAGCUGCAUAGGAGGGGGAGGAGGCUGGCGAUAGGGAACCGGGCCGGGAGGAGGCAAGUAUGA
rnacentral:rRNA from 1 species